AGUCGUAACACGGUAAGCGUACUGGAAAGUGUGCUUGGUCUUGAGCCGUAACUCUAGCCCCCACCCUUCGAAUAUUGACUCACUUUUCUCCCCGCCCCCUAAAACAUUUUAACUUUGUAGUAGAGGCGAUCGAAACACACUUUAGCGCUUCAGAUUAAGUACCGCAAGGGAAAGAUGAAAUAAUACUGAAAUAUCACCAAGCCCCUAACAGCAGAGACCCCUCCUCGUACCUUUUGCAUCAUGGUCUAGCUAGUCUAACCAAGCAAAAUGAUUUUUAGUUUGCCCCCCCGAAACUAAGUGAGCUACUUUAAAACAGCCUUUAGAGCUAACCCGUCUCUGUCGCAAAAGAGUGGGGUGAUUUUAAAGUAGAGGCGAUAAACCUACCGAACUUAGAAAUAGCUGGUUUUUUAAGAAAAGAAUUUUAGUUCAGCCCCAAGCCUCUCCGUUAAACAAAAACCAUCUUAGGCCUGGGAGUUAUUCAAAUAAGGCACAGCUUAUUUGAAACAGGAUACAACCUAGAACAUAGGGUAAGACAACUAUAUUUUUAACAAGUGGGCCCAAAAGCAGCCACCUUCUAAAAAGCGUCAAAGCUUAGUAAUAACAGUUUCCCAAUAACUGCAAUAACUUCUAACCCAUACCCCCUAUUAAAUAACCCCAUAAAUUUAUGGAAGCUAUUAUGCUAGAACAAGUAACAAGAAAAAAUUUUUCUCCAAAAUGUAAGCUUUAGCCGCAAUAGACAACCUACCGGCAAUUAACGACUUUAAACCAAUUAUAGUAACGCCAGCAAGAAAACUCUAUAAACCCCAUCGUCAACCUCACACCAGCACAUUCAUGGAAAGAUUAAAAGAGUGGGAAGGAACUCGGCAAAUAUUGAUCCCGCCUGUUUACCAAAAACAUCGCCUCUUGCUUAAACAUAAGAGGUCCAGCCUGCCCAGUGACAAGAUUUAACGGCCGCGGUACCCUAACCGUGCGAAGGUAGCAUAAUCACUUGUUCUUUAAAUGAGGACUGGUAUCAACGGCACCACGAGGAUCUUACUGUCUCCCCCCUCUAAUCAGUGAAACUGAUCUCCCCGUGAAGAAGCGGGGAUAUUUAUAUAAGACGAGAAGACCCCAUGGAGCUUUAAACCCGACAGCACCCGCCUAGCCCACGCCCCUCUAUUGACCCGGCCCCUGUCUGCUCGGUUUUAGGUUGGGGUGACCACGGAGUAUAAAAUAACCUCCACGAAGAAAGGAGUAAUAAUCCUCAUCUAAGAGCCACACCUCUAAGAGCUAAUACAUUAACUUUUAAUGAUCCGAUAUUUGAUCAACGAACCAAGUUACCCUGGGGAUAACAGCGCAAUCCGCCUCAAGAGCUCCUAUCGACAGGUGGGUUUACGACCUCGAUGUUGGAUCAGGGUAUCCCAGUGGUGCAGCAGCUACCAAAG
rnacentral:rRNA from 1 species